rnacentral:lncRNA from 1 species
UCCCUCUCCUCCCUGCAGCCUUCCCUCCUCCAAUCACAGCAACCUUCCCACCUUCCAUCUCCGUGCCGCAUCCUUCUCGCCUCUCCUCGCUGCAACCUUCCCUCCGCCGGCUCCGAUUGGCUGAGCCCCCUCCCCAGGUUUGCAGCGUCGGUCCACGCGGCACCUGCGCCCCAAACGGGGCCGUUUAUCCACGGUAUAAAUGCUGGGCUCUGUCCUAGCGAGGAAAUGUUGCAAAAAAAUGCUACAGGAGGAAAGAAAUUUUGCUAAUGUUGCGACGGUUCAACCCCAUGCUGCAGAUAUCAGCACGUAGAUAUCAGCAUGCAGCCCUACUGUGCCCCACGUGCUGCAAGGAGAGGCCCGCAGUGCCCUGCAAAGAGGGAUCCCACUUCACCACCUCUCUGCUCACAAAGUGGAAAUGGGGUCUUGCUGAAGGGAAGUUGUGAUUGGAGGUCUGUGACUUGGAUUCUGAAGCAGUGGAAUUGGCCAUGUUUUAUUGCAAGCAAAAAAUGGCAUUUCUCUCAUGACCAUGUAAAGGGAAGAAUGGCAAGAAGCAUGAUCUCCCUUCUCUUUGUGCUGGUUUCACAAGGGCUCACUCAAUGAAUGAAUGAGUUCUGCUUUUGACUCGCAGAAACACAAGGGAGAAAGGCCAUCCUUUAUGAAGGGAGAAUGUAGAUGUAGCUUUACUUCAUAGAGUAAGCACUGUUUUGGUAGAAUUGUUUGUAGAACUUUGGCUGCUUUAGAUGGUAGGUCUGCUUCUAUGGUAUCUUAACAUGCAAAGGUUUGUGUGUUGAGAUGAGAAUGAAUUCUUCAGGUUAAUCAGAUGCAGGGAAUGCACACCUGUUUGGCUAUAUAGGGAGGUCUGCAAAUAGAGAAGCAAAAAGGGGUUUUGCAUUAGGGUCUAAGAAAUGUUUCUGGUUUCCCCCACAAGUUUGCCUUCCUUGCCAAG